UCGGGAAAGAAUCAUGUACAUGGGUUUGACAAAAAAUAUCCAUUCCACAUAGAUCCCAUUCCUGGUCCACUUGAUGUACAGAUGGUGAAUGAAUACCGUACUUGGCUUCGAAACGGUCUGCUUGUGAGGCACGAUAGCAAAAAGAACUACGAAGACCAUUACAAAAAAAAAAUGGCAGGUUUUGACAAUGGAGUCAAAUUCAAUUUUGGCAUCACAACUGUCAAUGAUAAGAACUGGUUUUACCUGUUAUCGAUGGAUGGUCAGCUUUGGAAUGACGAG